UUGGGAUGUACAUGAAGCUCCUGUUGAAGAGAAUUACAUUACUACAUGGAUUUGUUGCUGAUUUUAUGUUGUAGCUUGUUAAUCUAUAGAAAAGCCAUCAAGGCUCUUCACUAAUGGUAGUACUGAACUGUACUGAAAUUAUCUACGACUGGGAGGGAGACAGCAAGUUUGAGAAGACACAGAACACAUAGUAGAUGGCAGUACUGAAAAGGAAGAAAAGAAUGAGAACCUAUGAUAUGAUAGAAAACAGAUCAGGUCUUAAGAAUAGAAGAGGUCAGGAGUAACACUCAGCCACCUGUGGGACUCACUUGAUGACCCCACAAUGCCACCAAUACUGCACCACUGCAUUUUCCUGGAGGCUUUUCAGUAGCAAGAUCUCCAAAGUGUUAUGAUUACCAUAAUUUUGGCCAGUCAGUAUCUGUGUCACAAUGUAAGAUUCAAUCCGCAGUGAAAACAGGAGGAAUAUUUUUGGAAGGAGAAAAUGUUAGCAUUAGAUAUUGAAGGAAAGCCCAGAAGGCAAACAUCAGACAGGAUUUAUCUUCACCACAAAGGUGAUGAUUAUAUAAAGGUAUAAAUCCCAUGUCUUCGUCAUACCUUUACAUAAAUUUUGCCUAAAUACCUAUUAUUAGUAAUUUUAAGGUUUCAAUCAAUCGAUCAAUCAAUCAUGGGGGGGAGGGAUACGCCUACCCUGUGGCACCACUCCAGGUGGUCAUGCCUCACGAGUCUCCAUGCAGGCUCCCUUCCUGUGCCAAAUAACUCCCAGCAAGAGGCAUUGACUUGCCACAGCCGUAAGUUCUGUGGAUGUCCCCUUGGCCUCCUCCAUGCUGGUUAUACUUUUCGGAGACAACCUGAUAUGCAGGAUCAGCUUCCAGGUAGCAUGCCACAUGCCCAUAUAGUCGCAGUUGACGUUGACGGACUGUGCUAGUAAUCGGCCUUGAAUCAGUCUCACGGGGCAAUUUGACAAAGUCAUGAUCCUGUAAAGGCAUCUAGUACCAAAAACAAAAAUUCGCCUCUUCAGAUUGGUGUUCAGUGUCCAUGUCUCACAACCAUAGAACAAGACAGGGAUCACCAGCAACUUAAAAGAUCUGAAACUUUGUCUGUCUGCACAGGUACCAACAACGCCAAAUACUCAUGUUGAGCAAGUCCAUAACGCUGUGGACCAGGCCAAUCAGCCAUACAACUUCCUGGCUCGACUCACCGUUGUUAUGCACUACAGUACUAAGGAAGGUAUGUGAAGAUUUCCAAGGUCUCAUUGUCCUCACCACAUGCAUGGACAAACCGUAAUAGUAUUUCAUCCAGUAAACCUCCAAAUAUCUAAACCUUGGUCUUGGGCCAAGAUAUCUGGAGUCCCAAUGACUUGUUUCCUUGUGCAGUGCCUCUAGAGCCAUUAUCAGAACCUCCAGUGACUCAGCAAAGAUUACUGCAUCAUUGCACUGUAUCAUUGGCACAAACAAGAUCUAUAAUCUCAGUAUUGCUGACAGAUGCUCCACAAUGACUUUGGUCUACAAUUCGGCCUAGUACCCAUUCCAUGCAAAUGUUGAAAAAUGAUGGAGCAAGCAUGCAUCCCUGCCUCAUUUUCGUAUUCACAGGAAAGAAGCUGGACACGCCCCCUCCAUACUUCACUGCACUCACAGUCCCAGAGUAGAGGCCAGUUAAUAGACCAAUAAUCCUUGCAGGAAUCCCACGGAGGUGCAGAAGAUCCCAUAGUGUCUCUCGAUGUACUGAAUCAAAUGUCUUCUUGAGAUCAACAUAGGCUGCAAGCAUCCUUUAUUGAAACUCAUGUUGGUGCUCCAC